rnacentral:rRNA from 1 species
UACAGAGGUCUCAAGCGUUGUUCGGAUUCAUUGGGCGUAAAGGGUGCGUAGGCGGCGCGGUAAGUCGGGUGUGAAAUCUCGGAGCUUAACUCCGAAACUGCAUUCGAUACUGCCGUGCUUGAGGACUGGAGAGGAGACUGGAAUUCAUGGUGUAGCAGUGAAAUGCGUAGAGAUCAUGAGGAAGACCAGUGGCGAAGGCGGCAUCCUGGCCCUGACCUGACGCUGGAGGCGCGAGAGCGUGGGGAGCAAACGGG